rnacentral:rRNA from 1 species
GACGAACCGUGCGAACGUUAUUCGGAAUCACUGGGCUUAAAGCGCGUGUAGGCGGGAGGGCACGUCCGUUGCUGAAAUCCCCCGGCUCAACCGGGGAACGGGCGCGGAUACGACUCUCCUUGAGGGGCGUAGGGGGACCUGGAACUUCCGGUGGAGCGGUGAAGUGCGUUGAGAUCGGAAGGAACGCCCGUGGCGAAAGCGAGGUCCUGGACGCCUACUGACGCUGAGACGCGAAAGCCAGGGGAGCGAACGGG